rnacentral:rRNA from 1 species
GAUGCGUGCUAGGUGUCGGUAGGGCUUUGAGCUGUAUCAGUGCCAAAGGGAAACUGUUAAGCGCGCCGCCUGGGAAGUACGCUUGCAAGAGUGAAACUUGAAGGAAUUGGCGGGGGAGCACCACAAGGGGUGAAGCCUGCGGUUCAAUUGGACUCAACGCCGGGAAACUUACCGAGGGCGACAGCAGAAUGAAGGUCAGGCUGACGACCUUACCAGACAAGCUGGGCGGAGGUGCAUGGCCGUCGCCAGUUCGUGCCGUGAGGUAUCCUGUUAAGUCAGGCAACGAACGAGACCCACGUGUUUAAUUGCCAGCAAUGGCCUUCGGGUCAGUUGGGAACGUUAAACAGACUGCCACCAUACAGGUGGAGGAAGGAGUGGGCCACGGCAGGUCAGUAUGCCCCUAACCCCUCGGGCCACACGCGGGCUGCAAUGGUAUGGACAAUGGGUCGCGACUCUGAAAAGAGAAGCCAAUCUCGAAACCAUAUCUCAGUUGGGAUUGUUGGCUGUAACCCGCCGACAUGAACGUGGAAUCCCUAGUAAUCGUGUGUCAUCAUCGCACGGUGAAUACGUCUCUGCUCCUUGCACACACCGCCCGUCGCUCCAUCUGAGUGGCGUACGGUUGAAGAUCGGUCCUGUGGGUCGGUUUAAAACUGUAUUCCGCGAGGAGGGAGAAGUCGUAACAAGGUAGCC